rnacentral:rRNA from 1 species
CCUACGGGAGGCAGCAGUGAGGAAGAUUGGUCAAUGGACGAGAGUCUGAACCAGCCAAGUAGCGUGAAGGAUGACUGCCCUAUGGGUUGUAAACUUCGUUUAUAAAGGAAUAAAACGAGGCACGUGUGCCUUUUUGCAUGUACUUUAUGAAUAAGGAUCGGCUAACUCCGGGCCAGCAGCCGCGGUAAUACGGAGGAUCCGAGCGUUAUCCGGAUUUAUUGGGUUUAAAGGGAGCGUAGAUGGGUUGUUAAGUCAGUUUUGAAAGUUUGCGGCUCAACCGUAAAAUUGCAAUUGAUACUGGCAGUCUUGAGUACAGUUGAGGUCGUCGGACUUCGUGGUGUAGCGGUU